AAAAAAAGUCAAAGUAAUGGGGAAAUGCUAUGCACCUGUGAGAAUGCUGUCGAUUUUCCCCACCACCAUGUCAGCAUCCUCCAUAGAGAAGCACAUCGGGGGCUUGAAUUUGAGCACAUUGCGAUGAGGUCCGUCAGCACUAAGAAGGAUGUGCUGUUCCUUUAGCCUGGGACAAACGCAGUUUGGUCAGGUAUCGCCCCACACGCAGUGCAUUGCCUUGGAGAUCCUCUUUCACAAUCACAUCUAGGACGGCCAGACCGAUGGCACACGACACUGGGUUACCGCCAAACUGAGGAAUUCAAAACCCACACACAGAGGAAGGAUUACACCACCUGGGAAAUCAGCUGCUCAUCAGGACGACAGAGCCAUAAGACAGUUUGCUGCAUUAAAUAUAUAGCAAAAUGUCA